UUUCUCACUUUGGCAGCACAUAUAAUAAAACUGGAACAAUACAGAGAUUAGCAUGGCCCCUGUACAAGGAUGACAUAAAAAUUCGUGAAACAUUCCAUAUUUUU
ensembl:snRNA U6 U6 spliceosomal RNA